rnacentral:rRNA from 1 species
UGGCGAACGGGUGAGUAACACGUGGGCAACCUGCCCAAAAGAGGGGGAUAACACUUGGAAACAGGUGCUAAUACCGCAUAACCAUAGUUACCGCAUGGUAGCUAUGUAAAAGGUGGCUAUGCUACCGCUUUUGGAUGGGCCCGCGGCGCAUUAGCUAGUUGGUGGGGUAAAGGCUUACCAAGGCAAUGAUGCGUAGCCGAACUGAGAGGUUGAUCGGCCACAUUGGGACUGAGACACGGCCCAAACUCCUACGGAAGGCAGCAG